GUCCCUGUAGCGUAAUGGAUACUGAGUUGAACUUCUGAUUGAAAGGUCGUGGGUUUGAAUCCCACCUGGGAUG